rnacentral:rRNA from 1 species
UACUAGAGUAGCACUCGCAUAUCAAUAAGCGGAGGAAAAGAAACUAACAAGGAUUCCCCUAGUAACGGCGAGUGAAGCGGGAAGAGCUCAAAUUUGAAAUCUUAAAGGGUUUCCCUUUACGAAUUGUAGUUUAAAGAAGUGUUUUCUGUUGAGGUUUUGGUAGAAGUUCUUUGGAAUAGGACAUCAUAGAGGGUGAGAAUCCCGUAUUUGACCUUUACUUUCAACUUUGUGAUACACUUUCAAAGAGUCGGAUUGUUUGGGAAUGCAGUCCAAAAUGGGUGGUAAAUUUCAUCUAAAGCUAAAUAUUGGCGAGAGACCGAUAGCGAACAAGUACCGUGAGGGAAAGAUGAAAAGAACUUUGAAAAGAGAGUUAAACAGUACGUGAAAUUGUCAAAAGGGAAGCGUUUGACACCAGUGUUGUUUUUCUGAAAAUCAAUUAAAGAACUGUUUAAUGCUAAGCUGUUUAGACUUUAUCAGCUAUACUGUUUAGUUUUAGGCUUUUCUUUAAUGCACUUUUCAGUUAACAAGUCAACAUCAAUUUCUUUUGCUGUAAAAAAGCUUGAGGAAGGUGGCUUGAGAUUCGUCUUAAGUGUUUAUAGCCUCUUGCCUAUGCAGUCGGAGAGAUUGAGGUCUGCAGCGUAGAUCCUUCGGGGCUAAAUGCAUUUGUGCUAAGUUAUAGCAUUUUAUAGACAACUUGUUGACUAUGAUUUGUCUUGUAGCUUACUCGCUUAUGUUAUUUUACCUACGCUUAGGAUGUUGAGCGCAUGUCUCUCUCU